rnacentral:tRNA from 1 species
GUCCGAGUGCUGGAAUGGUAGACAGGAUAAACUUAAGAUUUAUUGAUGUGAAUCAUGAAGGUUCAAGUCCUUUCUCGGAUA